GAUGAACGCUGGCGGCGUGCCUAAUACAUGCAAGUCGAGCGAACGGACGAGAAGCUUGCUUCUCUGAUGUUAGCGGCGGACGUGUGAGUAACACGUGGAUAACCUACCUAUAAGACUGGGAUAACUUCGGGAAACCGGAGCUUAUACCGGAUAAUAUUCUGAUCCGCAUGGUUCAAAAGUGAAAGACGGUCUUGCUGUCACUUAUAGAUGGUUCCGCGCUGCAUUAGCUAGUUGGUAAGGUAACGGCUUACCAAGGCAACGAUGCAUAGCCGACCUGAGAGGGUGAUCGGCCACACUGGAACUGAGACACGGUCCAGACUCCUACGGGAGGCAGCAGUAGGGAAUCUUCCGCAAUGGGCGAAAGCCUGACGGAGCAACGCCGCGUGAGUGAUGAAGGUCUUCGGAUCGUAAAACUCUGUUAUUAGGGAAGAACAUAUGUGUAAGUAACUGUGCACAUCUUGACGGUACCUAAUCAGAAAGCCACGGCUAACUACGUG
rnacentral:rRNA from 1 species